UUAAAUUGCAUAUUGAUUUCUUUUACUUGUUUCUAUUUUAUCGUUUUUUGUACUCAGAAUCUUAGGAGGAAAAGAAACCUUCUGAAUGGAAAUUCCAAAGACAUUUUUUAUCUAGAUACUGAAAUAUAUCGUCAGAUAAUUGGAAAAUUCCCUACAAGUACAAAGGAAAAGAAUUCUGGGAAUAGAUUUAAUACGAUGUUUCGACAAACAUUCUGGUGCUUCUGGGGUUCGCCUUCAAGUUAUGUAACAGCACCGAGAAUGUGAGGCUGAUGAUUAGUUGCUGCUCUUGACCAGCAAGUUCUGUGGGCUAAGCUUCCCUGGGAUCUUCUGUAGGGCAGAAAGCCCAACCCAUUAACCACACAUGCUGGACAUCUCCCAGCCAGUCCCAAAGAGCAAUCCACAGAGUAGAACGGCACAGCACAGCAAAAUGCAGAAGUCUCAUGCUCAGAAAGAAUGCACUAGAAGGAGGUGGUGUAACAACAAGUUGAGAGCAAAAGAAGAAAAUUAGCAGACUUGGAUGAUAACUGGAUGGAGCGAUAAGAAAUCUGGACAGUCUCAUGAUUAUUGGAAAUUCAAGGCCCAGCUUCCUACGUGCUCACUCAUUGGCAAGAAUCCAAAUAUUUAAAUACCGAUGUAGAAAUAAAUUAUCCGCUCCGGUUAAUAGAAGAUGUACUUAAAGCAAUUUACAGACACAACCAAAGCAUACCUACUCAGGUUUAGAAACUUGGCUGGACUCUCAGGACAACAGAACAGAACAGCCUCAUGAUAUUCCGUUAUUUCCUCACUCUAACCUCUCAGAACACCUUAAGAAAUAUGGUCUCGCAGUUUGUGGAAUUGUAAAUACUGCCCGCAACAAACGGAAGGGGAAAAAAGGAGAUACUUAAAGGACAAAAAUAAUAAACACUGCAGGAGAAGAAAAGAUGCUUAUAUUGCUCCAAAACGUACUCCUGUCACCCAGCACACCGCCCUGUAUCAACUAAUCCUUCAGCGAGAAUUGGUGAAAAUGAGCAAAUGCAGAGUGCGGAGCAAGGGGAAUGACAGCACAGCAGUUCAGACAUGUUGGCUACAAAUAUGGCAAAACUCACCAAAGGAAACUGAGACACAAUGCUGACUCUGAAUUUGGGUGUCUUCCCAAAAAGCCUAUUGCCAGA
rnacentral:lncRNA from 1 species